UGGCUAGAUAGCAUAUCGGUGAUGCAAAAGACUGCAAAUCUUUAUUAGGACGGUUCGACUCCGUCUCUAGCUUU
rnacentral:tRNA from 1 species